AAUCAAGUUAGUCCUCUCCGUUAAGUUUUUUGUUAAAACCGUUAACUCUUGCUACGUGUCACUUAAGAUUGAUAAUCAAUGAUUAGAUUUAAAAAGCACACACUAGUCUACAAUGGACUCGCAACAUUUGAUAAUUUCUAUCAUCCCUCCCACCAGGUCUCUUUUCUUCUCUCUCACUCCCUCUUCUUCCAUGACAAUCAAUAUCUGCAAAAAGACACACCCCAAUCUGCUAUUCCCUCACAUAUUUUCUCUUUAACAUUCAACAUGCAUCAUUAUCUUACUAUUUCUGGGUUUUUAUUUUUGAAUUUUUCAAUUUUUAAUUUUUGGGUUUUUACUGUUGAGAUUGAUGAAUAUGGAAGAGAUAAACCAUGAUUGGUGAAGAUUCUAAUGCUAAGGUUGUUGUUGUGAAUUGUGAUCCGCCUGGGCCACUGUUAGUUGGACAGAAACGGGUUAUCAAAGCUCCUGCACAUCAUCAAAAUUAUAUAUGUUAAAUAGUUUAUUUAUAAUUUAAAAUAAUUGCAAUAGUCAGUUUCUAUAAUUAUGCAGUUUAGUAACUACCAUUUUCUAGGAAGUUAGUUUCCAUGUAAUAUGUAUUUGAAUGAUUGUACUUUUAUGGAAUCAUGAAGAAAAUAUUCAGAAAAACUUCCAGCCUUCCUUUCUUUUUUAGGAGACCCAUCCCUUCUCGAAUUGGAAUAAUCACUACUUCUCUAACAAUCAUCUAUCAUAUUGUUGUUGAAAUUGAGAUUGGGGUGUUUGUGGUUUUUGAAAAGGUUGAUGUUGCUGAUAUUGUAAUGAAGAAAUGUUCUUGUUUUUUUUUUUUUUUUUUUUUUUGAGAGAGAAAUGUUAUUAUUGUUGAUGGCUAUAUGAGGACCAACAUCAUUGUUGUUUGCAACAAGUAGAAAACAAAUUAUUCCUCUAAAGAAAGAAGAAACCAAAUUGUUGUUUUUGUUGAAAUUUGAUUCCCAUUUUAGUUUGAAAAAUUUGAUUAACAAUAAACUAUAGCUUAGAUUUUUUUAUGUAAAAAAAAUAAAAAAUUUACUUGAGUCCUAGAAUAUGUUGUUGGAUGAUGAAUUUUAUUGUUGUUUCAGUUUGAGUUUUG
rnacentral:lncRNA from 1 species